rnacentral:rRNA from 1 species
UACAGAGGUCCCAAGCGUUGUUCGGAUUUACUGGGCGUAAAGGGUGCGUAGGUGGCUAGUUAAGUUUGACGUGAAAUCUCCGAGCUUAACUCGGAAAUGGCAUUGGAAACUACCUUGCUCGAGGGUUGGAGGGGGGACUGGAAUACUUGGUGUAGCAGUGAAAUGCGUAGAUAUCAAGUGGAACACCAGUGGCGAAGGCGAGUCCCUGGACAACUCCUGACACUGAGGCACGAAAGCUAGGGGAGCAAACGGG